AUUGAACGCUGGCGGCAGGCCUAACACAUGCAAGUCGAACGAGUGGCGGACGGGUGAGUAAUUUCUGUGAAACUGCCCGAUGGAGGGGGAUAACUACUGGAAACGGUAGCUAAUACCGCAUACCAUCGGAUGUGCCCCGAUGGGAUGGGCUAGUAGGUGGGGUAACGGCUCACCUAGGCGACGAUCCCUAGCGGGUCUGAGAGGAUGACCAGCAACACUGGAACUGAGAGACGGUCCAGAAUCCUACGGGAGGCAGCAGGGGGGAAGAUUGCACAAUGGGGGGAAGCCUGAUGCAGCCAUGCCACGUGUAUGAAGAAGGCCUUCGGGUUGUAAAGUACUUUCAGCGAGGAGGCGUUACUCGCAGAAGAAGCACCGGCUAACUCCGUGCCAGCCGCCGCGGUAAUUC
rnacentral:rRNA from 1 species